UACGUAGGGUGCAAGCGUUGUCCGGAAUUAUUGGGCGUAAAGAGCUUGUAGGCGGUUUGUCGCGUCUGCUGUGAAAUUUCGGGGCUCAACCCCGAACUUGCAGUGGAUACGGGCAGACUAGAGUGUGGUAGGGGAGACUGGAAUUCCUGGUGUAGCGGUGAAAUGCGCAGAUAUCAGGAGGAACACCGAUGGCGAAGGCAGGUCUCUGGGCCACUACUGACGCUGAGAAGCGAAAGCAUGGGGAGCGAACAGG
rnacentral:rRNA from 1 species